rnacentral:antisense_RNA from 10 species
GGUAACCAAAGAUAACAGCUGGGCUAGUUGUUGGAUUUGUUAUAACACGAACAUCUCCACCGCCGGGCGCCCAAGUAUCAUAAACCCCACCAAAGUAAAGAGCUUUCCAAACAAGGAGCCAAGCACCAAUACCUAAGAUUAUUAAAUGAAUACCUAGGAUAGUGGUCAUUUUAUUUUUAUCACGCCA